GACGAACGCUGGCGGCGUGCUUAACACAUGCAAGUCGAACGGUAAGGCCCUUCGGGGUACACGAGUGGCGAACGGGUGAGUAACACGUGGGUGAUCUGCCCUGCACUUCGGGAUAAGCCUGGGAAACUGGGUCUAAUACCGGAUAGGACCACUGCCUGCAUGGGUGGUGGUGGAAAGCUUUUGCGGUGUGGGAUGGGCCCGCGGCCUAUCAGCUUGUUGGUGGGGGGAUGGCCUACCAAGGCGACGACGGGUAGCCGGCCUGAGAGGGUGACCGGCCACACUGGGCCUGAGGUACGGCCCAGACGCCUACGGGAGGCAGCAGUGGGGAAUAUUGCACAAUGGGCGCAAGCCUGAUGCAGCGACGCCGCGUGAGGGAUGACGGCCUUCGGGUUGUAAACCUCUUUCAGCACCGACGAAGCGCAAGUGACGGUAGGUGCAGAAGAAGGACCGGCCAACUACGUGCCAGCCGCCGCGGUAA
rnacentral:rRNA from 1 species